rnacentral:rRNA from 1 species
CCAAACUUUGUAUGCAGUGUAGAAUGUAUUUUUUGUUUUUGCGAUCACGCAAUCAAUACAACUUUCAACAACGGAUCUCUUGGCUCUCGCAUCGAUGAAGAACGCAGCGAAAUGCGAUACGUAAUGUGAAUUUGCAGAAUUCAGUGAAUCAUCGAAUCUUUGAACGCACCUUGCGCCCCUUGGCAUUCCGAGGGGCACACCCGUUUGAGUGUCGUGAAAUUCUCAAAAACCUUUUUCUUUUUGGGAAAGGGUUUUUGGACUUGGAGGCUUUUUGCUGGCUUCACCUUGAAGUGAGCUCCUCCUAAAUGAAUCAGUGGGGUCCGCUUUGCCGAUCCUUGACGUGAUAAGAUGUUUCUGCGUCUUUGGGUUUGGCACUGUCACCUGCUUCUAACUGUCUCAUUGACAAUGAUGGUGCUCCGGUCACCACCUGCUCUUAUCGGUGGGAGGCUUGACCCACAAAAACAAAACCUUGACCUCAAAUCGGGUGAGACUACCCUGCUGAACUUAAGCAUAUCAAUAAGCGGAGGAAAAGAAACUAACAAGGAUUCCCCUAGUAACUGCGAGUGAAGCGGGAAAAGCUCAAAUUUAAAAUCUGGUGGCCUUUGGCCAUGCCGAGUUGUAAUUUAGAGA